CAUUUCAACAUGUUUUCAAAAUGAAAAAUAUUAAUGAGACAUUUUACUCUUUUUUUUUCUACUGAGCCCACCAAAAUUCAGUGUCUAUUUUACACUUACAGCACAUCUCCAUUCAGAGUGGCCACAUCUCCAGUGCUGAACAGUCAGCCGUGGCUAAUGACCACCAUAUUGAACAGCAUUAAUUUACAAGCUUUCAGGAUUUUCUCUUGAUCCCAAAUACAUGAAAAUUUCAGGCCAAUAUAUGUCUAGAUGUGGGUCCUCUUCAUCGUUAUGCUGGGCAUCUAUUGAGCCCUUUCAAUCCAGAGACUCAUACACUGCAACUCUGAGAGGUUUUCUUGAAGACAAAGAACAAAAAAUAGUGUUAGUAGUACUAUUAUCAAUGCAACUCUUCACAUCCUUUUUCUCUGUUCCUCUUUCUGGAACCCUAUUCAGUCAGGUAUCAGGGCCUUCUGGAUUGAUUCUCUGAAUUAAUUGCACUUGCUCUAUUAUCCUUUUCUAUUUUACUUUCUUUUUGUUCUGCUUCCUGGGAAAUUUCUUUAAUAUUACACUCCAAUCCUUAUUUGAUGUUUUUAGUUCAGCUGCCACAAUUUUGUUUGAGGAUUUUCUUCUCUCUUAUAUUCUAAUACCUGUUCUGUUUCAUGAAUGUAAUGUCUUAUUUUAUCUGAUGAUAGUAAUAAAAGAUUUUAGAAGUUUUAUUCUGGCUGGGUGCGGUGUUAAUAAAAGAUAUUAAAAGUUUUAUUCUGGCCAGGUGCGGUGGCUCAUGCC
rnacentral:lncRNA from 10 species